rnacentral:rRNA from 1 species
AUUGAACGCUGGCGGCAGGCCUAACACAUGCAAGUCGAGCGAGCGGCGGACGGGUGAGUAAUGUAUGGGGACUGCCCGAUAGAGGGGGAUAACAACUGGAAACGGUGGCUAAUACCGCAAAGUGUCGGAUAAAGCAUAUGUGAUGAGCUAGUUGGUAAGGUAAUGGCUUACAUAGGCGACGAUCCCUAGCUGGUGUGAGAGGUGGAACAGCAACACUGGGACUGAGACACGGCCCAGAUUCCUACGGAGGAAGCAGUGGGGAAUAUUGCACAAUGGGCGCAAGCCUGAUGCAGCCAUGCCGCGUGUAUGAAGAAGGCCCUAGGGUUGUAAAGUACUGUCAGUCGGGAGGCGUUACCGACAGAAGAAGCACCGGCUAACUCCGUGCCAGCCGCCGCGGUAAUAC